GCAGGGAAUCUUGCACAAUGGGCGAAAGCCUGAUGCAGCGACGCCGCGUGAGGGAUGAAGGCUCUAGGGUCGUAAACCUCUUUUCUCAGGGAAGAGCAAGGACGGUACCUGAGGAAUAAGCCACGGCUAACUACGUGCCAGCAGCCGCGGUAAUACGUAGGUGGCAAACGUUGUCCGGAAUUACUGGGCGUAAAGGGCCCGUAGGCGGACCAACAAGUCGUUUGUGAAAUCUCCCGGCUCAACCGGGAGUGGUCGAGCGAAACUGUUGGACUUGAGGAUGUCAGAGGAAGACGGAAUUCCCGGUGUAGUGGUGAAAUGCGUAGAUAUCGGGAGGAACACCAGUGGCGAAAGCGGUCUUCUGGGGCAUUUCUGACGCUGAGGGGCGAAAGCGUGGGGAGCAAACCGG
rnacentral:rRNA from 1 species